UUGACAUACUAAGAACUUUCCAGAGAUGGAUUGGUGCCUUCGGGAACUUAGAUACAGGUGCUGCAUGGCUGUCGUCAGCUCGUGUCGUGAGAUGUUGGGUUAAGUCCCGCAACGAGCGCAACCCUUUUCCUUAUUUGCCAGCGGGUCAUGCCGGGAACUUUAAGGAUACUGCCAGUGACAAACUGGAGGAAGGCGGGGACGACGUCAAGUCAUCAUGGCCCUUACGGCCAGGGCUACACACGUGCUACAAUGGUCGGUACAAAGGGUCGCUACCUCGCGAGAGGAUGCUAAUCUCAAAAAGCCGAUCGUAGUCCGGAUCGCAGUCUGCAACUCGACUGCGUGAAGUCGGAAUCGCUAGUAAUCGCGGAUCAGAAUGCCGCGGUGAAUACGUUCCCGGGCCUUGUACACACCGCCCGUCACACCAUGGGAGCUUGUUGCACCAGAAGUAGGUAGUCUAACCGCAAGGAGGACGCUUACCACGGUGUGGCCGAUGACUGGGGUGAAGUCGUAACAAGGUAAGCGUAGAUGA
rnacentral:rRNA from 1 species